UACGUAGGGGGCUAGCGUUGUCCGGAAUCAUUGGGCGUAAAGCGCGCGUAGGCGGCCCGGUAAGUCCGCUGUGAAAGUCAAAGGCUCAACCUUUGAAUGUCAGCGGAUACUGCCAGGCUAGAGUCCGGAAGAGGCGAGUGGAACUCCUGGUGUAGCGGUGGAAUGCGCAGAUAUCAGGAAGAACACCAACGGCGAAGGCAGCUCUCUGGGACGGUACUGACGCUGAGACGCGAAAGCGUGGGGAGCGAACAGG
rnacentral:rRNA from 1 species